rnacentral:tRNA from 1 species
ACUAUUUUGGCAGAUAAGUGCGGCGGAUUUAGAAUCUGCAUAUGCAAAUUUUACUUUGUAGGUAGUA